GUGUUAAGUGUCCCUUACAGUAUUAAGAAAUCAAUAUAAAUAUUUAAUGCAAAGGAAACAAGAGAUGAUUCAAACAUCUUGGGAUUGAAGUUGGAGAUAAUUGCUCUCUAUCUCUUGUUUCUUUCUAGUUUUCUCUGUUUCAGAGAAAUGAGGAUUCUAUUUGAUAGCUGAAGUAAUAAUUACAGUUGUUAAAUGCCCAAGCCAAGUUACCGGUUCUUGCUUAUCCCGCGCUGUCACACUGUGUCGGAAUAGCUUGAUGUUUGGGAUAUCAUUAUAAAAAGGCCCUCACUUCACCUCAACCCCGUGCUCUCAUGAACAAAAUCUCCAAGGAAGAGCCCUUAGAUCAUUAGACCAAGUUAGAUCACUGACAUUUUUGUUCACCGUGAGACUUUAAAUAUUUACUUUUGUGGUACAGAAAUACCACAGGAAAUGAGUAUGGGCCGAAACACUUGCUCCAUGGAGACGGAAAGUGAUCUGAUAGUGGCUCUGAUAAGUAAUGCACAGAUAGAGCUGCUUCACGGGGGAGGGAGGGGGCCCGCAUGUCAUUGUCAGAGAUAACUAAGAAAUCCUGCAAUGCAUUGAAAAAUUCAAAUAUGGUCCCGGAGAGAAGACUCAGCAGGCAAUAGUACUGCCUGUUCUUUCAGAGGACCAGGGUUUUAUUCCCAGCACCCAGAUGGUGGCUGACAGAUGUCUGUAAGUCCAGUUCCUGGUGAUCCAAUGCCCACUUCUGAUCUCUGAAGAUGCCAGGCACAGAUGUGGUACACAGAUAAAUGUUCAGGAAAAACAGCAUACACAAAAAACCAGACAUAUGUGCAGAAAACUACCAUACACAAAAUUAAGAUGAAAUUCAAAAAUGGUCCUAUCUAUCUGGAUAUGUUCCCAAUUAGAUGCUGCAUACAAGGAUACAGGGGUGUAGGUCAGACAAAAGAAUGCCACUGCCUUUAUUAAAGCAGACACUCAUUUCUCCUGAACUUCAUGCCAGACUGAAACAUCCUUUUACCCCACUAACCCCGUCUUCUUAUCUUAGCUAUGCCUCUGUCUUUCCUCCUGGAGCAUUCUGUUUCUGGAAAUGUCUUCUAUCCUUUCCUCUAUGAGCUGCAUCCAUUUUUUGGUAAGAUUGGAGCAGUGUUCUGACUUCGGAUCUUUUCUGGUCGUUUUACCAUUAUCUUGCUACAGGCAAGAGUAUUUGAGUCAGGAUAAUCUUAUGUGUGAAUUUCUCAUCUAGCACAUUUCAAAAUUGUUUGUUGUUUCAUGUUUAUUUCUCUAGCCCACAUGGCACAUGGGUUUGCAGAGGUAAAUGUUUUAGAGUAUGUUUUAAAUGAAUGAGCAGAAAGUGAAUAAAUGAAAACUGAAUAUGUUUUAAAUGAAUCAGUUACAAAGACAUGAGCCAUGCUCAUGUGUGCACAUACUAUGCACUUCAUGCUGAAUGGAUGAAGUGAUUGAUCAAUGCUGAAAAGAGCAAUUAUAUAUGCACUUGCAUAUAUGCCUGAGUACAGUUAUUAUAUCAGUUAUUAAAUCUGCAGCAAAAUAUACCUUGAUUGAUAAGCACUGUAACAGAUAAACUACAUUGUCAACUUGCUGGGAUUGAGCCAUCAUGAUAACAACCUUCUGAGAAUGUCUGUGAGGAAGCUUCUAGAUUACAUCAGUGGGGGUAGACAAACCCUCUUGCAACAGCACUGUCCAUGGACGGGGUCCCUGGCCUGAACUCAAAGGAGAAAGCAAGCCGAGUACCCAAGCACCCGCAGUCAUCUCUCUUCCUGACUGUGAUUCAAUGGGACCAGCUCCACAGGCACCAGCAGUCAUGACUGCCACUCCAGGAUGGACUGUACCCCUGUGCGAGGCAUUAAAAUAAAGCUUCCCUUCAUUAACUUGCUCUCAUUCUAUAUUGUUUCUGAAGCAGAAAGGAAAACAACUAAGAAGGCACAUUUAAAAUUCUUUAAAUUCUCUCUUGCUUGCUCUCUCUCUCUCUCUCUCUCUCUCUCUCUCUCUCUCUCUCUCUCUCUGUGUGUGUGUGUGUGUGUGUGUGUGUGUGUAGUUUUUCAUCAUAUCAUAACUUCGGAUGUACAAGACUAGUGAUAAAGACCCUAGUGUAAAUUGAUGGUGACCAUGAGAGUUGGUGAGUGCGUGCCAAAUGAUGUGAAAGUGGAGGUUCCUUUAGCCUAACUAUAAUCUUUUCCCCAGAAAUAAAAACUAAAUGCAAAGAUAAAUAUCUAUUCCAUUUAUUUUCCCAUUUAUUAUUUAUCCAAACACACAUAGCAAUAAAAAUGCCAAUAAUAAAUAAUAGUCAUUAAGAGCUUUCUGAGUAUUAAGAAAUCUUAUUUAUUAAACUUCCAAUGAUGAAAUAGGUACAGUAGAGGUACUGUGUACUAUCGUCACUUACAGAUAACGAAACUAAGUUUUUUGCGGGUUACAUUAAUGCUGAAUAAUAUUAAAAAAUAUAAGGAAUCACAGGCUAACACAUAGACAUUAUUCUGAAUGUGUGUGUGCUAUAUAGUUACAUAUAAUACACCACUCAUAAAUUUUAUUAAAACUAUACUUAUUAAUAACUAUUCGUUUUGAGUAGUGAUCUAUAUUGUAUCCCUAAAUGAAAGUGUGAAAACAUAGUUGGUCUGGAUGUCAGGCACAGUGGCAACACAUUUUCUGCAUACCAGCUAUGAUAGGUGAAAACAUUUUCUUUUUAAGUGAGAUGAAGCACCCCAAGGGUUAUUAUUAAUUAUAUGUGUCAAUUCAGCUGAGUGAGAAAGCGUUCUGAUAUUUGAUUGAACAUCAUUAAGGACUUGUCUGUAAAGGCGUUAAAGUUUGAGGUCAAUAUUUGAAUCUGUAGACUAAGUAUAGAAAGUUGACACACAGCCCCUCCACCUACACAGUGUGGGAAAGCAUCAUCUGGUCCAGGUUUUUGGUGAUAUUAACUUAACAAACAUGUGGAGCACCAGGACUUGAGAAAGAGAACAGUAAUAUUCAGAAUCAAAGAUAUGAGAAGAAUACAUGUCUCUUGCCUGCAGGCCUCCAAGGGACGUCAGUGGGGAAAGUGAUCAUCAGGGUUGGAGAAUGAGGCUCUUCUCUUACCACUGAUACAGGCCUGAAAGGAUGCCCAUCAUUCAUCAUUAAAUCACAGAGCUCCAUCUAGACCCUCAGUCUUAUGGGGUGAAAAGCAUUAUCUACCAGAAGGGCACCUUUCUCCUUCCCACAGUGCAGCUGAAAAUGAACCUGUGACAAGGGUGAAAUAGAGACACUCCUUCUCUACACUCAAGAAAUUCCCAGGUCUAAGUCUAAAGGACCCUUACUCUUCUCUUUGUUAUCAUAUUCUAUGCCCCCCUUUUUAAUUAAGACUUCUUCGUGCAUAAAGUGACUUCUUCCAUUAAAUUUGGUAAUUUAAAUCUGAUAUCAAAGAAAAAUAUUAGUAUUUUCACAUGACAUUGAUUUUAUACUUCCAAAAAUUCUCUUCCUUUUUGCCCAAUUUUCACUGAUGUUCUUUUUAAAUUAUUACUAAUUUUAUUGUCAAUGACUUAAUGUCCACAUAAUGUCGACCACCAUACUUAUCUAAGUACGUACGCACUUUCAUGAGUAUGAAAACAAAAUAUUCUAAAUGAUUUAAAAUGUGUGCAUCAGAAUGUUUAAAAAUAGAAGUAACUGAGCUAUCACAGCUUUGACCAUUCUCCAAAGAUACCACUUUAUCAUUGGUAUGAUGACAGACCUACUCACCCCAGAUUUCACUCUGGGCAUCCCUCCAACAUAAUGGCCAUCUCCCACUCGUGUUUUACCCCAUGAGAAAUAAAUGAAAGCAUCUGGGGCCUUCUCUUCUUGAACUGAUACUUUGAUGUCAUUACUAAACGGGUUACAACAUGUGAACUGAUAGAUUAUUUAACAGCUAUGUGAAACACAAGGUAAGAAUUCAGUGUUGAGACAUACUGCAAAGAUCUGUAAAUGAAGGCUAUUUUUGCUCAAUUUUGUCCAGUGUUAAGCAACUAAGAUUACAUGCUAGAACUUAAACACUCAGAGCUAAAGAAAGCUGCUUUGAAAGCCGGGCGUGGUGGCGCACGCCUU
rnacentral:lncRNA from 1 species